GAACUUCGUUGCAAAGUUUACAAGAUUGUUUUGCGAAGUUCAAAAGUUCAUAAUGAGAUUCACAAAUCAGUUCGUAAACUACGCAUUUGAUUGGCUUCUUUUACUUCACGGACCAAUCAGGGACUUUGUUUACAAAUUGGCUUGUGAAUUCCAAUAUGAGCUUCCAAACUUCACAACAAACUUGUGAACUUUGCAACGAAGUUC
rnacentral:miRNA from 1 species